rnacentral:rRNA from 1 species
AUGGCCAUGGCCGGGAGGAAGGUGACGACGAGCAACGCCGGCGUCGCGGCCGCGCUGGUGGCGCUGCUGGUCGUGGCGGCGGCGUCGGGCGCGGCCGGGUACCAUGUCUGCAACGUGGACACGGACAGCCUGGUGAACAACUGCAGGUCCUACUGCGCGGUGGGCAGCAACGAGGCCAGCCCCAGCGGCGCGUGCUGCGGCGCGGUGCGCGGCGCCAACUUCAAGUGCCUCUGCAAGUACAAGGGCCUGCUGCCCAAGGGCAUCGACGCCAACCGCGCCAUGCAGAUCCCCGCCAAGUGCGGCUA